rnacentral:tRNA from 1 species
AGGAAUUUAUAUACUUUGGCUUCUAACCAAAAGUUAGGUAAUUAAUCUUAUCAAUUCCUU